AUAAGAGUUUUUCUGUUCUGAAUUUUUAUUUGUUUUUAAAUUUAAUGUAAAUUUUAGUGUUAUGUAAAUUUUUUAUAAAUAAAGAAAUUUUAAAAGUUUGAUUGCAGUAAUUAAUUUUUUUUCUUUAAUUUUUUAAGAUAAAGAUAAUAAUAUUUAGUACAAACUAAAUUUGUGCCAGCAGUUGCGGUUAUACAGAUUGUGCAAUAAAAAUAAUUUUAGGUUAAGUUAAAAUUUAAAUAUUAAAAAUUUAAAAAUUAAAAAUAAAUUUAAGGGGUGAAAUUUUAUUUUUACAAAAUUUUUGAAUAUUUAAGAUUUUGAGGCUUAGAAAUUUUGCUUUAAACUAGGAUUAGAUACCCUAUUAUUAAAAUGUAUUUUUAUUUACCUAAAUUAGUGAUAGAGAAAGGAUUUUAUUUCACAAAAAUAAAAAUGUUCUUGAAAAUUAAGAAGAGUGGCGGUAUUUUAGUCUUUUCAGAGGAACCUGUCCUGUAAUUGAUAGUCCACGAUUUUUAAUACUUUUUUUUUUAGUUUACAUAUCGCUGUGGUUGAAUAUUUUUUUUGAAGAAUUUAAUAUUCAGAGUUUUUAGGGAAAGAAAUUCAGGUCAAGAUGUAGUUUAUGGAAAAGAAGAGAUGGGUUACAAUAAUUUAAAUUUUGAAAAAAUUUUUUAAAAUUAUUUUAAAAUUGGAUUUGAAAGUAAUUUUAUAGAUUAAUAUAAAAUGAUUUUAGCUCUAAAAUGUGUACAUAUCGCCCGUCGCUUUCACUUUAAAGUGAAAUAAGUCGUAACAUAGUAGAUGUACUGGAAAGUGUCUCUAGAAGUGG
rnacentral:ncRNA from 1 species